AUGCUGCUUGUGCCCAAAGCCUUCGUCAUAGUUGCCUUUGGACUUGAAGAGUUGGUUGAAGUGAGGCUUACAAUAGAUUCUUCCGUGUAAGGAUGCAUAUGUUCCUAGACUGUCACCAAAAGAGAAGACACCAAGUGAGGCAGGUACAGGCCUGUCAUUGGACGAGAAGGAAGGAUGGGCAGGAGAAAAGUUUGAAGGAAGAGGAGGAGACGGGAGAGAAGCCGCCCGGAGAGAACAUGGAAGCUAAUGUUAAGACUCCACGCUGCACCUUUACAGGCUGUUAUGAAUGUUCUUAAGGGAUGGGUGUGUACUGGGCUUUGUAUGUCUAGGUGGGCAAUUAUAUCUUAUCAACUGGAUCAGA